rnacentral:tRNA from 1 species
GCGGGUGUAGCUCAGUUGGUAGAGCGCUUGCUUCCCAAGCAAGAGGUCACGGGUUCGAGACCCGUUACCCGCU